rnacentral:rRNA from 1 species
UACGAAUGGAGCGAGCGUUGUUCGGAAUCACUGGGCGUAAAGCGUGCGCAAGCGGUCUUGAAAGUCAGGAGUGAAAUCCCAGGGCUUAACCCUGGAAUUGCUCUUGAAACUCCAAGACUGGAGUACUGGAGAGGUUGGCGGAAUUUCGAGUGUAGCAGUGAAAUGCGUAGAUAUUCGAAGGAACACCGAUGGCGUAGGCAGCCAACUGGACAGUUACUGACGCUCAUGCACGAAAGCGUGGGGAUCAAACAGG